UACGGAGGGUGCAAGCGUUGUCCGGAUUUAUUGGGUUUAAAGGGAGCGUAGGCGGUCUUUUAAGUCAGCGGUGAAAGCCUCCAGCUUAACUGGAGAAAUGCCAUUGAUACUGAAAGACUUGAGUACAGACGAGGUAGGCGGAAUUGACAGUGUAGCGGUGAAAUGCAUAGAUAUUGUCAAGAACACCGAUUGCGAAGGCAGCUUACUAGGCUGUAACUGACGCUGAGGCUCGAAAGCCAGGGGAGCAAACGGG
rnacentral:rRNA from 1 species